rnacentral:rRNA from 1 species
GAUGAACGCUGGCGGCGUGCCUAAUACAUGCAAGUCGAGCGAACAGACGAGGAGCUUGCUCCUCUGACGUUAGCGGCGGACGGGUGAGUAACACGUGGAUAACCUACCUAUAAGACUGGGAUAACUUCGGGAAACCGGAGCUAUACCGGAUAAUAUAUUGAACCGCAUGGUUCAAUAGUGAAAGACGGUUUUGCUGUCACUUAUAGAUGGAUCCGCGCCACAUUAGCUAGUUGGUAAGGUAACGGCUUACCAAGGCAACGAUGCGUAGCCGACCUGAGAGGGUGAUCGGCCACACUGGAACUGAGACACGGUCCAGACUCCUACGGGAGGCAGCAGUAGGGAAUCUUCCGCAAUGGGCGAAAGCUUGACGGAGCAACGCCGCGUGAGUGAUGAAGGUCUUCGGAUCGUAAAACUCUGUUAUUAGGGAAGAACAAAUGUGUAAGUAACUAUGCACGUCUUGACGGUACCUAAUCAGAAAGCCACGGCUAACUACGUG